UUCCGCGUGCGCGAUGACGGUCUUCGGAUUGUAAAGCGCUUUAGGUGGGGAAAACGAUGAUGGUACCCACAAAAUAAGUCACGGCUAACUUCGUGC
rnacentral:rRNA from 1 species